rnacentral:lncRNA from 1 species
UGCAAUGCAUGUACUAACUAAUACUCCAUAUAUAUUUAGUCAAACAUAUUUCGAACACCAAAAUUUAAAUUGUUGCAUGUGGUGAAACAACAUAGCUCCGUGUCAAAAUGCAAAAAACAAAACUAAUUUCAAACAUCAAACUCCAAUAAUGGGAACAAUCCAAAGUUGCCAAGUGUUCAUCUCUUGAUCAAACAGUGUCACCUUCCAUAAGAUUUACAUUGCAAACCUGGUAGACAAAUAAAAGAAAUCAAUAUCACAAGGGAUCAAUCUUCAGAACAAUUAAAUCUUCAUCAUAAAAAACACUUAAAUCUUGUUCGGCUCUAUGGACCACUGUAGUGAAGCGGCAAAUUAUAGAUAAUACAACAACCGUAUCAUUUUUUCUGAUGGAAAAAGACAAACCUAUUAUUAUCAUCAUCCAAAGUGUUUGCAAUGUCAGAUGGUUAAGGACGAACAACAUUACAACAUUGGCAAGCUGACCUCAGGGUGAUCCAUCUUUUUUCAUGCCCAUAUUGGUCAUUUUCACUACACAGGAAGUAUAUUGGAUUCCUUCCCGCAAAAAAAAGUCUAUUGGAUUCCUGAAGAGCAAACACAACAAUUACUUCAUCUUCAUAGGGCCACUGGGUCCUCAAAUAAUACAACUUAUACCCUGGCAUCUUUUCUUUUAUACUCCCUCCAUCUUAAAAUGUAAGACGUUUUUUAACACUAUAAAACAUCUUACAUUUUGACACAGAGGGAGUAAGGGAGUAUCUCUUAUGCAGCUACGCUACCAGUUCAGUCUAACUAAAUCUGGUCAAUUACACAAUAUGUAAAAAUAUGGCAAAAGAGCACAUACCUUCAGAUAUUUGCCAGCCAGCUUCAGCCACUAACCUCACCAAGACUGCUCAUGUGCACCUGCAGCAUUUUUCUAUAUAACAAAAAGUUUUAGAAGACCAUGAGAUUAGGCAUUUCAACCAAUUCACUUAGAAACACAGUGAGUUUGUAGCUAAUAUAGCUUGAUGGAUUUGUGCAGCCAGUAUCGAUGGCACGCCUUGUACUAUGCCUAAGAAAAUAACCACAAAACAUCUAAUUAUGCCUUUUUUAGAAAAGGAGGAUGACCCCCGGCCUGCAUCUAGGAGCUACAUGCAACCACUUUAUUAACUAUUCACAAAGAACUUACAAAGUAAUACAUCAAUAUGUUUGAAGCCGCCAUCUUGGCAACAUCCGUUGCUACUCCUAUCCAUUGAUGAAGGGGUGCAGAAAGUAUGGGCUGAAUACCUAGACCUCUCACCUAAGCCUAACAUCUAAAGCUGGAGGCCCCAACUAAGCCACAUACCAGGUCUGGGGCAUAAACCGGUCCGACGCACUCAUAGGUCGUCGCCGCCGUCUUCCAUCGAUCCAUCUUCAAAGGUGAUACUGACGCAUCGACCUUGCCAGGCCUGCUGUUGACGCCAACAUGGCGCCAGACAAAACCUCCUCCCUACACGCAUCCAUCAUCACACAUCCGUCGCCGAGGCCCUGCCACGCCACGCCACCGAGACUCCACGUCGUCGAUGUGUCACAUGGAACACCAUUCCACCGCAGAUGUCGUCCACUGGUCCCUCGAGCCUAUGCAUACCUCCAAGAUUGACGUCCCCAAGAGGGAUAUGGCACAAGAGUGUUGACGUCAUCCAAUCGACCGAUCUAGGGUUUCCCUCGGAGGUGGCGGAUAGGGGUCUAGAGCUUCUCCACUAUGAUGCCUUCAAGAAAGGGACGACGCAGAAAACGUCACCAUCGUCGGUUUUGGCAACGAGCGAAGAUUAGGGUUUUCACCCGGAUCCACUCGAGGAACCUCCAUCCAGCCUUGUGUGCACGGGACCACCAUCACCACCGCCGCGCAUGGAGCAGGCCGCACAGGCCAGAUCAGAUCUGACUGGAGGCCAAACCACACAUAUAGUCGUUCCAUCCACCAGGCCCUCCAUGCCGCUGCCAAUUCGAGAUCCGACUGGCAGUAGAGCCGCCCACCGCCUCUGCGAGGCAGGGCUGGCCGCCGUGUCGCAAGACCCAACCAGUCGCGCCUCCACAUGUUGGGGGGCCCACCCCACCCCAAGCCGCGAGAGAGAAGGAGACCCCCGUCACCGCCAUCUGCCCCCGGGCUUAGCCGGCAGCGUCACGCGGCGGUGAUGGGAGGAGAGGAGGGAGUAGAUCAGGGCUCAGUGGCGGCUAGGAUAGCGGCCAGCCCGAGUCGCUCGAUGCGGGAGCGACGCGGGGGGAGCGAGAUGUUUUGGUCAUCUAAUUAUGCCUAGUCAAGAUCCAACUCAUACGUAAAGAUUCAGCUUGAAUUCUCAAAUGAGAACACGAAUGUGAAUUAUGGGCAGAUGAACCAUGCAAGAUCACGGUACACUAUAGAAACUUGAUCCGAUCGAAAUAAUUAAAAGCAACUCAAACCCUGUAUGGAGGAAACUAAAAAGAAAAUAUGAGGGAAAUAAGUGAACAUAGAGAUUUGGAGAGCUUAGUUCUAAAAUCUUGCGAGAUAAUUUAUGAAGACACAAUAAUCUAUGUCAGUGCAAUCCUGCUCAAAAAUAUUUUUUUUUUGCAAAUAUUCAUGUAUAAAUAGAAGUUUUGAAAACCGUAAAACCAUAUGACAGACGAACUGUACCAAGACUAAGCCAAUUAACUAUUUUUCAUCAUCAUCACUCCAAAAGCCUCGGUUCUUUCCACUUUCCUUAGUUCUUGUGAAUUUAUGAUCAAUGCAUAAUGAGAUAGAUGAUCAUAAUUUGGUGCACAUAAUAAUUCUACCAUGAUAUAAUAAAAACAAUACCCCAGCAUGAAGCUAACCUUAUCGUGGUCAUGUCACUUGCCCACCAGUUGUAGCCUCAUUCUUUUCCUGUAGCUAAAAUCCUGGCCUCCAAGUCCACUACAUGUUUGCA